rnacentral:rRNA from 1 species
GGGACACGUGGUAUCCUGUCUGAAUAUGGGGGGACCAUCCUCCAAGGCUAAAUACUCCUGACUGACCGAUAGUGAACCAGUACCGUGAGGGAAAGGCGAAAAGAACCCCGGCGAGGGGAGUGAAAAAGAACCUGAAACCGUGUACGUACAAGCAGUGGGAGCCUCUUAAUGGGGUGACUGCGUACCUUUUGUAUAAUGGGUCAGCGACUUAUAUUCUGUAGCAAGGUUAACCGAAUAGGGGAGCCGAAGGGAAACCGAGUCUUAACUGGGCGUUAAGUUGCAGGGUAUAGA